rnacentral:lncRNA from 1 species
GCCCAUAUAAAUAAAAUCAGAGGCCCAAUUCAUAAUUAAAAAUCGGCCCAUAUCAAUAAAUACAACAAGGCCCAAUUGAAUAAAUAGGAGAUAAAAAUUUCGGCCCAAUUAUUUAAAUGAGUUCGGCCCAUAUAAAAUAAAUAAGGAGGCCCAAAAUAAAAUAAAUUCUGGCCCAAGAUAAUUAAACUUAGCCCAAAUAAUAAAAAAAAGAAAGGCCCAAAUCCCCCUUAUCUCUCCCAGUCGAGCUCUCUCUCUUCUCAAAACAAUCGAGACCUCUCUCUCUCUAUUUCUUCCUCUCGCUCCGCCUCCAAUCGGCCUCAGCUGAGACGCCUGCCGCCACAGCUCCGGAGCCCGGCGAGGUCGACGCUUCGCUGCUUCUCCUCGUCAACGUCAAUCCCUCAACGUCC